CUUCAUUUUAGUGUUUGGGACGUUAUUCGAUGCCAAGAUCCGCUCUCUUGUUUUGCGACAAGUGCCUGCAUUAAGCUCUACUUCUAAUCGCACAAGGAGCACUAGUGCAGGAACUUCCUCCAGUAGAGCAGAAAACAUCAUAAACCGAAUUUUUCGGAGAAGGGGGGUGUACCAUGUUUCACAAGUUCCAAACACAAGCAGCAACACUGACUCCUCACAGUCAUACAGCAGUCUGCAGAUUUAAGCAC